rnacentral:rRNA from 1 species
AUUGAACGCUGGCGGCAGGCCUAACACAUGCAAGUCGAACGAGUGGCGGACGGGUGAGUCAUGUCUGGGAAACUGCCUUAUGGCGGGGGAUAACUACUGGAAACGGUAGCUAAUACCGAAUACCUUUGGCUGAGCCCUGAUGGGAUUAGCUAGUAGGUGGGUUAAAGGCUAACCUAGGCGACGAUCCCCAGUUGGUCUGAGAGGGUGACCAGCCACACUGGAACUUAGACACGGUCCAGACUCCUACGGGAGGCAGCAGUGGGGAAUCUUGCGCAAUGGGCGAAAGCCUGAUGCAGCCAUGCCGCGUGUAUGAAGAAGGCCUUCGGAUUGUAAAGUACUUUCAGUGGGGAGGCGUUACCCGAAGAGAAAGCACCGGCUAACUCCGUGCCAGCAGCCGCGGUAAUUC